GCGAGUCGUGAGGGGUUAGCCCUCGGCAUAGUGCUCAGCAACACGUGGACAACCUGCCCAAGAGUCAGGGAUAACCCCGGGAAACUGGGGAUAAUACCUGAUAGGCCACGAUUUCUGGAAUGGGUUGUGGUUUAAACUUGUGCUCUUGGAUGGGUCUGCGGCGGAUUAGGUUGUUGCCGGUGUAACGUACCAGCAAGCCUGUAAUCCGUACGGGUUGUGGGAGCAAGAGCCCGGAGAUGGAUUCUGAGACACGAAUCCAGGCCCUACGGGGCGCAGCAGGCGCGAAAACUCUACAAUGCAGGCAACUGCGAUAGGGGAACAUCGAGUGGCACCCACCAUGGGUGUCUGUCCAAUCGUCUAAAAAACGAUUGUUAGCAAGGGCCGGGUAAGACCGGUGCCAGCCGCCGCGGUAAUACCGGCGGCUCGAGUGGUGGCCGAUAUUAUUGAGUCUAAAGGGUCCGUAGCCGGCUUUGCAAGUCCCCUGGGAAAUCCAGCGGCUUAACCGUUGGGCUUUCAUGGGAAACUACAUUGCUUGGGACUGGGAGAGGUAGGAGGUACUCAGGGGGUAGGGGUGAAAUCCUGUAAUCCUUUGGGGACCACCGGUGGCGAAGGCGUCCUACCAGAACAGGUCCGACGGUGAGGGACGAAAGCUAGGGGCACGAACCGGAUUAGAUACCCGGGUAGUCCUAGCCGUAAACGAUGCUCGCUAGGUGUCACGGCAGUCGUGAAUUGUCGUGGUGCCGUAGGGAAGCCGUGAAGCGAGCCACUUGGGAAGUACGACCGCAAGGUUGAAACUUAAAGGAAUUGGCGGGGGAGCACCACAACGGGUGGAGCCUGCGGUUUAAUUGGAUUCAACGCCGG
rnacentral:rRNA from 1 species